AUUUCUGUGCAUGAUUCGCGGGGUCAAGUCAGUGGGCAAGGCAGUGUACGUGACGGCAAUAUUGCCGUACAUACUCCUGAUCAUCAUCUUCAUCAGCACACUGAUUCAACCGGGAGCAGGAUCCGGUCUGCUGUACUACGUCACGCCGGACUUCCGGAAACUACAGGAUGUGAAGGUGUGGCUUGAGGCGUUUCUACAAGUGAU
rnacentral:misc_RNA from 1 species